rnacentral:rRNA from 1 species
CCUACGGGAGGCAGCAGUGGGGAAUCUUGGGCAAUGGACGAGAGUCUGAACCAGCAAAGUAGCGUGAAUGAUGACUGCCCUAUGAGUGGUAAACUUCUUUUAUAAAGGAAUAAAACGAUGCAAGUGUGCCUUUUUGCAUUGACUUUAUGAAUUAGGAACGGCUAACUUCGCGCCAGCAGCCGCGGUAAUACGGAGGAUCCGAGGGUUGUCCGGAUUUAUUGGGUUUAAAGCGAGCGUAGAUGGGUUGUUAAGUUAGUUGUGAAAGGUUGCGGCUCAACCGUAAAAUUGCAAUUGAUACUGGCAGUCUUGAGUACAGUUGAGGUAAGCGGAAUUCGUGGUGUAGCGGUGAAAUGCUUAGAUAUCACGAAGAACCCCGAUUGCGAAGGCAGCUUACUAGUCUGUAACUGACAUUGAUGCUCGAAAGUGUGGGUAUCAAACAGGAUUAGAUACCCUUGUAGUC